AGCGAACGCUGGCGGCAGGCCUAACACAUGCAAGUCGAACGGAUCCUUCGGGAUUAGUGGCGGACGGGUGAGUAACACGUGGGAACGUGCCCUUUGGUUCGGAACAACUCAGGGAAACUUGAGCUAAUACCGGAUGUGCCCUUCGGGGAAAGAUUUAUCGCCAUUGGAGCGGCCCGCGUCUGAUUAGCUAGUUGGUGAGGUAAAGGCUCACCAAGGCGACGAUCAGUAGCUGGUCGGAGAGGAUGAUCAGCCACAUUGGGACUGAGACACGGCCCAAACUCCUACGGGAGGCAGCAGUGGGGAAUCUUGCGCAAUGGGCGAAAGCCUGACGCAGCCAUGCCGCGUGAAUGAUGAAGGUCUUAGGAUUGUAAAAUUCUUUCACCGGGGACGAUAAUGACGGUACCCGGAGAAGAAGCCCCGGCUAACUUCGUGCCAGCAGCCGCCGUAACAC
rnacentral:rRNA from 1 species